AUUGAACGCUGGCGGCAGGCCUAACACAUGCAAGUCGGACGGUAGCACAGAGGAGCUUGCUCCUCGGGUGACGAGUGGCGGACGGGUGAGUAAUGUCUGGGGAUCUGCCCGAUGGAGGGGGAUAACUACUGGAAACGGUAGCUAAUACCGCAUAACGUCGCAAGACCAAAGUGGGGGACCUUCGGGCCUCACACCAUCGGAUGUGCCCAGAUGGGAUUAGCUAGUAGGUGGGGUAAUGGCUCACCUAGGCGACGAUCCCUAGCUGGUCUGAGAGGAUGACCAGCCACACUGGAACUGAGACACGGUCCAGACUCCUACGGGAGGCAGCAGUGGGGAAUAUUGCACAAUGGGCGCAAGCCUGAUGCAGCCAUGCCGCGUGUAUGAAGAAGGCCUUCGGGUUGUAAAGUACUUCCAGCGGGGAGGAAGGCGGUGAAGUUAAUAACUUCACCGAUUGACGUUACCCGCAGAGGAAGCACCGGCUAACUCCGUGCCAGCCGCCGCGGUAA
rnacentral:rRNA from 1 species